GCAUUGCCCGGGCGCGGACCUUUUCGUGGUCCUCGGGAUAAGUAACUCCCGUGUCUCAUGGACCGGGAGCGAAACCAGCACGCGC
rnacentral:ribozyme from 1 species